rnacentral:rRNA from 1 species
GCGCAGCAGUCGAGAAACCUCCGCAAUACACGAAAGUGUGACGGGGCCAUCCCGAGUGCCGUCCGCUGAGGACGGCUUUUCCCCAGUGUACACAGCUGGGGGAAUAAGGAGAGGGCAAGCCUGGUGUCAGCCGCCGCGGUAAUACCAGCUCUCCGAGUGGUGGGGACGCUUAUUGGGCCUAAAGCAUCCGUAGCCGGCUGGGCAAGUCCUCCGUUAAAUCCAACGAUUCAAUCGUUGGGCUGCGGGGGAUACUGUCCAGCUUGGGGGCGGGAGAGGCCGACGGUAUUCCCGGGGUAGGGGUGAAAUCCUAUAAUCCCGGGAGGACCACCAGUGGCGAAGGCUGUCGGCUAGAACGCGCCCGACGGUGAGGGAUGAAAGCGUGGGGGAGCGAACCGGAUUAGAUACCCGUGUAGU